AACGAUCCGAGCUCGAGCUCUAUUCAGUACUCGUUUAAUACACGAGCCGAGUAUAGCUCGACUCGUUUAAGCUCGUUAGGCUCGAAGGGUAAGGGCAUUUUCGUCAUUUCAAUGUAUAUGUGGUACUCUAACCUAAGUCAUCUCCCGUCUCCGUCUGUAGCCCUAAUUUUCUUUCCUCUUUUGGUCUUACGUUUUCCCGCCCCACAGCCGUUACCCUCCAGUUGCACCCCGCAGCCUCCAUUUUCACGCCGCAGCCGCACGCCCGUACCCUCCAUUCUCACCACCAGGCGCCAUCCUAAAUUUUUCUUUCCUCUUUCUAUCAUGCUGGGUCGGUGUGGAACUACCUCAGAACGGUGUUCGGGUUUGGAAUUGGGUGCGGCGUUGGAUUUGGUGUUGGGUAUGGACAAGGGAUUGGAUUUGGCCGCACACUGCAAUCGCUAAGAUCUCAGCUUUUUCAGCCUAAGAGGAAGUCCAAGAGACCAAUCCUUGUUUAGAUUUGAUUUCUUGUAUUCUCGCCUUGAUUCUGUUUGUUUCUUGUUUCCUGUCAAGACAAAUAGAAUUUGAAUUUCUGUUGUUCUUUUGUUUGACAAAACAUCAGUGUAGACGAACCCGGAUGGUGUGAUUUUGGCUAAUAUUAUUUUCUUUUUCCCCUUGCAAUCUUCAGCAUUUGUAGGCAGUUUUACUACCGAAGUCUUGACUAGUGGUGGACUCACUUAACACAUCCUUUUAUGACUAUGAAUUUACGGCUGAA
rnacentral:lncRNA from 1 species